AACGAACGCUGGCGGCAGGCUUAACACAUGCAAGUCGAACGCUUACUUCGGUAAGAGUGGCAGACGGGUGAGUAACACGUGGGAAUCUACCUAUCUCUGCGGAACAACACAUAGAAAUGUGUGCUAAUACCGCAUAAGCCCUUAGGGGGAAAGAUUUAUCGGUGAUAGAUGAGCCCGCGUUUGAUUAGCUAGUUGGUGAGGUAAUGGCUCACCAAGGCGACGAUCAAUGGCUGGUCUGAGAGGAUGAUCAGCCACACUGGGACUGAGACACGGCCCAG
rnacentral:rRNA from 1 species